CCCAUUGGCUUCCAGUCUGGUCCCAAACAGUUUCGGAGAGAACCCCGUCUCCCGGGGACAACAGAAUUCCAGCAUUAACAUUUCCAUCUGCAGAACAAGGCUUCUCCCUUCGGUGAAAUGCCUUUGCGGUCUCAUGAUAACCACACCCGUGGAGGCCGAGAGCUCUUGGAGGACCAGCUGCAGCCUUGAGAUGCAGGUUGGUCCACGAGGGGGAAGAAGCCUGAAUACUGUCUCCACUGGCCUCUGAAAACAAGGUCCCUUCAACUGCAGGGAAUGCUGGCCUCAGUGUCAUCUGUAGAAUGGGGUCGUCAUAGGAUCCAGCUCAGGGGUCACUGUGGAGGGCCGAGAAGAUGACGUGUGCGAAGGCCCUGCCUCACAGGGAUGCUCAGUGAGGAGAAGCUGCAUCCGCUCUUUCCGCAGACCUGGGAGGGCUCUCGACUCGUUUGGGGCUGCGUGUUAAAACCCUGGUGCAUGGGGUCAUGUUGUUUCUACUCUGAUUUGUUGUGUGUCUGCGUUUUCAGGACCUCUCUGGGCCAUGUGCGGGGAGUUGAGGGACCUUGUUCUCCCACUGACAACACUUUGAGCUUCCAAGUUGUCAUACUGAGGAUUCACCGUCUCCAGGCGGGGGUUGGGGCUGACCCUUCCACUGUCCCCAUCACUGGUGAUGUCACAGCAGAGGAGUCUGCGGAGACCGAGUUCUGGAGGAGGGAGGGGUCUGGGGGGCAGUGUGUGUCCCUGUGGUGUUGGGCAUGUCAAACAGCCGCCCCUUUCCUCUGUUUGGCAGAUGCCAGCACUUCACACUCAUGUGGACGCAUCGUGGGCCUUCUACAUAUGCUGAGACAGCUGUGGGUCUGUGCCCAACACCCACAGGGCUCCAGAAAAUGCUGAGCAGGAAGAAGGGCUGCGUGGGGAGGCAGGAGGGCAGAGGGGCCUGAGAGCUGGGCAGGCAGCCAGAGCCCUGAAGACUCGUCAGGAGCUGGGACGGAAUGCACGCCCCACCUCCCGCGGUCAAGGUGAAGGGUAAAGGAGACAGCGUUCGCUCAGGCAGCGCCAGACACACAGCAGGUGCUUCAGCAUUACUGUCACAAACCCAGGCAAAGCCCAGGGCUGAGGCGAGUAACAUCACUUCCAACGGGCACGGAGGCGAUCCAUCCCCAGCAGC
rnacentral:lncRNA from 1 species